AGCUUUAAUAAUUUAAACAUAAAAUAAUGAUUUUGUAAAUCAUAAAUAUCAAAAGAUUUAAAGU
rnacentral:tRNA from 1 species